GCGGGCGUAGUUCAGUGGUAGAACAUCUGCUUCCCAAGCAGAAUGUCGUCGGUUCGAUCCCGAUCGCCCGCUCCA
rnacentral:tRNA from 2 species